AUGUCAGAUUUCAUUGCAUGGGAUCCCACCAAGAAUGGAAUCUUUUCGGUACGAUCUGCUUACCAAGUGGAAUGGAAUGCUCAAUUUGGUCACUUGCUGCAAACUAGAGCCGAAUCAUCGUAUCCCGACGAGAAGUGGAACUUGAUAUGGACCUUACAGUGCCCCGCAAAGAUCCGGAUUUUUAUUUGGAGAGUUCUCCAUAGUGCUAUUCCGUGUAGGGCGGUUCUUGCCUCGAAGCACAUGAAAGUGAAAACACAUUGCCCGGAAUGCAAUAUGGGACCUGAUAGCAUCAAGCACUUCCUUUUUGAGUGCCCAAGAUCAAAAGAGGUAUGGCGAGAAUUGGGGCUGAUUGAUGUUGUCAAGAGGAGAUGUACACAAUUCAAAUCAGGUGAAGAAGUGGUGCAUGAAUUAUUAAGCAUGGAGGAAACUGAAGUCCAGAUCCUAGGUCUUCCCAAACCGAAGGAGGUUGUGGCCACUGCGGCAUGGUAUCUAUGGUAUGAA
rnacentral:rRNA from 1 species